UACGGAGGGUGCGAGCGUUAUCCGGAAUUACUGGGUUUAAAGGGUGCGUAGGCGGCCAUGUAAGUCAGGAGUGAAAGUUUGCGGCUCAACCGUAAAAUUGCUUUUGACACUGCAUGGCUGGAAUCAGGAUGAGGUCAGCGGAAUGUGGCAUGUAGCGGUGAAAUGCAUAGAUAUGCCAUAGAACACCAAUUGCGAAGGCGGCUGGCUAGACCUGUAUUGACGCUGAGGCACGAAAGCGUGGGGAGCGAACAGG
rnacentral:rRNA from 1 species